AAGUCCUAAGUCCUAAGCAAACUCUCACCAUAGAUCUGUAGUUUUUUUAAAAACCUCUUUCUCUUUCUCUUUCUCUUUGUUUUUUUUCCCUUUAAUUUUCUCACCUUCUUCACCAACCAUGAACCAAACCUAAUUGGGAACUUUCAGAGAUUCAUAUCUCACAGCCCCAAAUCUCUUGUUCUUCCUCAAAUGGGAUGGUUCAAAUCCUUCCUCAUUUCACCAUUCAAGAAGCUUUGGGAUCGUCUUCACAGCUCCCCCCAUAGAUCAAACCGAAAAGGAAUCUACAUUUUGUAUAAAGAUGUGAAGUCUUGCCCUUGUGAAGAUGUGCAAAUGCUUUGGUCCAUUCUUGUUCAGUCUGGCUCUCCUCCUAAUUCACCAUUACCGUCGUGAAGCCGAGCUUUUGUCCGUUGCCAAAAAGAUGGCGAUCUUGUAUAGAGAAUAUCAACCCAUCAUACUAGACGCUUUUUGUAAAACUCUUUCGACUUCUUUCUUGUUCUUCUUCUUCUUCACCUUCCUACGAGAUUAACCAUAUGGAAAUAUACAUUAUUUUACAGAUCAACAAGUAUAUUAAAUACACAUAUUCUCACACUUUCAGAAAAA